UACGGGGGGGGCAAGCGUUGUUCGGAAUUACUGGGCGUAAAGGGCGCGUAGGCGGUUUGCUAAGUUGGAUGUGAAAACUCUGGGCUUAACCCAGAGCCUGCAUCCAAAACUGGCAAACUUGAGUACUGGAGGGGAAAGCGGAAUUCCUGGUGUAGCGGUGAAAUGCGUAGAUAUUGGGAGGAACACCAGUGGCGAAGGCGGCUCACUGGACCGGUACUGACGCUGAUGCGCGAAAGCGUGGGGAGCAAACGGG
rnacentral:rRNA from 1 species